UAACGAAUCUUCCGCAAUGCACGCAAGUGUGACGGAGCAAUGCCGCGUGUGGGAUGAAGCAGCUUCGCUGUGUAAACCACUGUCAGGGUCUAGGAAGAACUGACCAGACCCAGAGGAAGGGCCGGCUAAACUCGUGCCAGCAGCCGCGGUAAUACGAGUGGCCCGAGCGUUAAUCGGAAUCACUGGGCUUAAAGCGUCCGCAGGCGGGUUCGCAGGCAUCUCGUGAAAUCCCACGGCUCAACCGUGGAACUGCGGGGUGAACCGCGAGCCUUGAGGUAGGUAGGGGUCAUCGGAACGUACGGUGGAGCGGUGAAAUGCAUAGAUAUCGUACGGAACGCCAAAGGUGAAGACAGGUGACUGGGCCUAUUCUGACGCUCAUGGACGAAAGCGUGGGGAUCAAACA
rnacentral:rRNA from 1 species